rnacentral:rRNA from 1 species
CCCUGAAAAUGGAUGGCGCUAGAGCGUCNAGCCUAUACCANGCCGUCGCAGCAAUACAUGCCCCCCGGGUGCCAUGCUGCNACGAGUAGGAGGGCCGCUGCGGUGAGCGUCGAAGCCUUGGGCGNNAGCCUGGGUNGAGCC